rnacentral:rRNA from 1 species
CCUACGGGGGGCAGCAGUGGGGAAUAUUGCACAAUGGGCGAAAGCCUGAUGCAGCCAUGCCGCGUGAGUGAAGAAGUAUCUCGGUAUGUAAAGCUCUAUCAGUAGGGAGGUAAAUGACGGUACCUGUUUCAGAAGCACAGGAUAACUACGUGACAGAAGCCGCGGUAAUACGGAGGGGGCAAGCGUUAUCCGGAUUUACUGGGCGUAAAGGGAGCGUAGACGGUAGGACAAGUCAGGGGUGAAAUGCCGGGGCUGAACCCCGGAACUGCUUUUAAAACUGUGCAGCUAGAGAGCAGGAGAGGUAGGUGGAAUGCCUGGUGUAGCGGUGAAAUGCGUAGAGAUUAGGCGGAACACCGGUGGCGAAGGCGGCUUACUGGACUGUAACUGACGUUGAGGCUCGAAAGCGUGGGGAGCAAACAGGAUUAGAUACCCCGGUAGUC